rnacentral:rRNA from 1 species
AACGAACGCUGGCGGCAUGCCUAACACAUGCAAGUCGAACGAGACCUUCGGGUCUAGUGGCGCACGGGUGCGUAACGCGUGGGAACCUGCCCUUAGGUUCGGAAUAACUCCCCGAAAGGGGUGCUAAUACCGGAUAAUGUCUUCGGACCAAAGAUUUAUCGCCUUUGGAUGGGCCCGCGUUGGAUUAGCUAGUUGGUAGGGUAAAAGCCUACCAAGGCGACGAUCCAUAGCUGGUCUGAGAGGAUGAUCAGCCACACUGGGACUGAGACACGGCCCAGACUGGUACGGGAGGCAGCAGUGGGGAAUAUUGGACAAGGGGCGAAAGCCUGGUCCAGCAAUGCCGCGUGAGAGAUGAAGGCCUUAGGGUUGUAAAGCUCUUUUACCCGGGAUGAUAAUGACAGUACCGGGAAAAUAAGCUCCGGCUAACUCCGUG